rnacentral:rRNA from 1 species
UACAGAGGGUGCGAGCGUUAAUCGGAAUUACUGGGCGUAAAGCGUGCGCAGGCGGUUUGCUAAGACCGAUGUGAAAUCCCCGGGCUUAACCUGGGAACUGCAUUGGUGACUGGCAGGCUAGAGUAUGGCAGAGGGGGGUAGAAUUCCACGUGUAGCAGUGAAAUGCGUAGAGAUGUGGAGGAAUACCGAUGGCGAAGGCAGCCCCCUGGGCCAAUACUGACGCUCAUGCACGAAAGCGUGGGGAGCAAACAGG